rnacentral:rRNA from 1 species
UACGUAGGGUGCGAGCGUUAAUCGGAAUUACUGGGCGUAAAGCGUGCGCAGGCGGUUUUGUAAGCCAGAUGUGAAAGCCCCGGGCUUAACCUGGGAAUGGCAUUUGGGACUGCAAGGCUUGAGUGCGGCAGAGGAGACUGGAAUUCCUGGUGUAGCAGUGAAAUGCGUAGAUAUCAGGAGGAAUACCGAUGGCGAAGGCAGGUCUCUGGGCUGACACUGACGCCCAUGCACGAAAGCGUGGGGAGCAAACAGG